rnacentral:lncRNA from 1 species
CAAAAAAAAAAAAAAAAAGAAAAAAGAAAACACAGGAAAAGGAACUCACCUCUUUUAUCAUCUUAGUAUUUAGUACUAAUGGUUUAGAGCAGGAAUUGACAAACUGUGGCCUGGACUCAUGGACCAACUCUGGCCCACCACCUGUUUCUCAGAAGAAAAUUUUAUUGGAACUCAGCCACACUUACUCAUUUACAUGUUGUCCUUGACUGCCUUUGUGUCCAGUGUCAGAACUGAGUAGCUGCAGCGGAGGUUGUGCCUCUGGGCUUUAAUAUCACAAACAGAGCAGCUUAUAAGCAACAGAAACUUACUUCUCACAGUUUUGGAGGCUGGGAAGUCCAAGAUCAAGGUGUCAACAUAUUUAGGGUCUAGGGAAGGUCUGCUUCUUGGUUAAUAGAAAGCACCUUUCACUGUGUCUUCACAUGGUAGAAGGGGAGAGCUCUGGUAUCUUCAGCCCCUUAUAAGGGCACUAAUCCCAUUCAUGAGAGCUCCACCCUCACGACCUAAUCACCUCCAAAAGGCCCCAUUUCGUAAUACCGUCAGUUAAGUUUCAUUAUAUGACUUUGAUGGGGAUAUAGCCCAUAGUAGGUUGUAUGUCCCUGAAAGCCUAAAAUAUUUACUGUUUGGCUCUUUACAGAAAAUAUUUUCUUGGCCCCUGUUCCAGAGCAUUCAUCAAGUCAGAUAAAGGGUUUAAACCAGUCAGAGAAACUAGGUGGAAUGGAAAAGUACUGAGAGAUAAUUGGGGACAGAAAAAUAAAAGAGAUGGGAAAUGCUGCAUCAAAAUACUCCUACCUCUAGGAUGUUACUAUAUAUUGUUAGGAGAAUUCAAGUUAUUGAAACUUGCCAAAUUCUUGAGUGAAGAGGAAUUCAUUUGAGAGCCAAAAUUUGACUAAGGAAAGAAGACCAACAUGGGCUUUCCAAAGUUGAGUUUGAAUUCUGCCAUCCCCACUAAGCAGUCAUGUGACCUUGGAAAAACUCCCUACUCUGAGUCUCAGUUUCUUUAUCUGUAUUAGGUUUCAACAAAGGGAAUAAAUCAUUGGCUUCUCAUGAGGUUGUCAUAAGGAUUAAAUAAGACAAUGCAUAUAAAAGAACUGGCAGACAAUAAAUAUAGAGUCCCCCACUCCUGCUUGGUGCUCUCUUUCUCUCUCCUUCUCUACAUAGAGAAGUGCCAGAGCAUCCGUCAGUAGAAGUUACUUAAGGUUGGCUGUGUCUUCCACAUCUUUUGUUUACCCAUGAAGAACUGUGACCAUCUUGUUCUGUGUCUUGUCAUAAAGAUGGGACGUGACUUCUUUCUGCUCUUGCUUCCAUCUGGUGCUGUUUUCUGCACAGCCUCCUUGAGACCUUCCAGAACCUUCUUUUUUCCUACUUCAUAUCACUUAACCAGUAGCUAUCUGGGAUGGUUCCAGAGGCUGAAGUUUGCAGUUGAAUAACAUUUUAAAUAGUGUUAAGCGACUUGGGAUCUCUGGCCCUUUGCGUUUCAGUAUUUGUCCUUUUUAUGCCUGAUGUUUAACCUGCCACAUGUUUGUACUGCAACAUGAAUCUUGGAAAUUUUAAUGUUAUGCAUUUCAAAUGUUUUUGGUUAUCUGUAAACUAAAUGUGCCCUUAUUGGCUCACUUGUCAAUAAAGAUGUUUGUAUAUGUAUUGUCAGAAA